AGCAGCCGCGGUAAUUCCAGCUCCAAUAGCGUAUAUUAAAGUUGUUGCAGUUAAAAAGCUCGUAGUUGAACUUCAGGCCUGUCCAGAUGGUCCGCCUUAAUUGGUGUGUACUGUCCUUGGGUGGUCCUACCUUCUGGCGAAGCGGCAUGGCCUUAGUUGGUUGUGUCGGGGAACCAGGACUUUUACNGUGAAAAAUUGAGUGUUCAAAGCAGGCAUAUAUGCUCGAAUACAUUAGCAUGGAAUAAUGGAAUAGGACGAUGGUUCUA
rnacentral:rRNA from 1 species